UACAGAGGUGGCAAGCGUUGUUCGGAAUUACUGGGCGUAAAGGGCGUGUAGGCGGUCUGUUAAGUCUGGCGUGAAAGCUCUCGGCUAAACCGGGAGAGGUCGUUGGAUACGGGCAGGACUAGAGUUCGGUAGGGGGAGACUGGAAUUCCUGGUGUAGCGGUGAAAUGCGCAGAUAUCAGGAGGAACACCGGUGGCGAAGGCGGGUCUCUGGGCCGAAACUGACGCUGAGGAGCGAAAGCGUGGGGAGCAAACAGG
rnacentral:rRNA from 1 species